rnacentral:rRNA from 1 species
UACGGAGGGUGCGAGCGUUGUCCGGAAUCAUUGGGCGUAAAGGGCGCGUAGGUGGCCCGGUCAGUCCGUGGUGAAAGCGCGGGGCUCAACCCCGCGUCGGCCAUGGAUACUGCUGGGCUGGAGCACUGUAGAGGCAGGCGGAAUUCCGGGUGUAGCGGUGGAAUGCGUAGAGAUCCGGAAGAACACCGGUGGCGAAGGCGGCCUGCUGGGCAGUGCUGACACUGAGGCGCGACAGCGUGGGGAGCAAACAGG